GAAAGAAAGAAAGAAAGAAAGAAAGAAAGAAAGAAAGAAAGAAAGAAAGAAAGAAAGAGAAAGAAAGAAAGAAAGAAAGAAAGAAAGAAAGAAAGAAAGAAAGAAAGAAAGAAAGAAAGAAAGAAAGAAAGAAAUAGGACUACAAGCGAGUAAGGGGAUACAUACAAAGGCCCUGCUGUGGUUUUCCCAGGAAACUCAUGGUUUGUUUCCAUCCCAUGACUCAUCACUGAUUCAGUAAGUGAAAGAAAGCCUGAAGGAAAGCCAGUGGAUUGUUCUGAAUAUCACUGUUCUGGGAUCACAGGGAGCCAUCUUUGAAUCUGCUCACCACUGUCUGCCUCCUGGCUCCCAGUGGUUUACCCCCUUCUGCGUAUCCCUCCCAUACACAAAGUACAUUCACCUCCUUCCAAGGGGAGCCAAGAGCCUCAACGUCGAGAAUCUCAUGAUCUAAGUCAGGAACUAUAGUCUUUGUGUGAAAUUCCUCUAGAUUUAUCAAUUAUUUAAACCAGAGAGACAAGUUAUCUGCCCCUUGCCUCUGUGACCUGCAAUUAUGGGAUAGGCAUAGAUUAAUACCUAUGUACAUUUCAGUUCAAAAGGCAGAAAUGGGAGGUACAGAAGAGUGCUGGGAAUAAUUCUCCUUGGCUCUGCCCCCUGGGUUCUUGAUUCCAUCCUGUCUUUUUCAGUGAAAGAAAGGACAUAUUUACAGUGUAAUAAUGCCAUCAGUCUGCUUCCUGCAAGUGGGAUUUUGUGAGUCCAAACGCCUCUUUUCUUGGUACUAUUUCUAUCCCUUUCAGCCCAACGUGGUAGUAUUUUUGAUGAAAUAACUUUCUCAAAAAUUUUAGGCAUCUUCCAUGGAUUUCACUGGGGCUCGUUCCAUUCGACAAGAACCACAUCUUACAGAUAUUUCUGACAUAAGUCCUUUUGAGAUACGACCUUCUCCACCAUCUCCUGCUGGGAUGGCUGUGGGACCAGGCUCCUAAGCUUCCCCCUGGCCCUUUGAUUUAAUUUAGAGGAUCUGGAAGACAUAGCCUUAAUGUUUUGAGAGGACCCUUUAUGUGACUCUGCUUUUCUGAUCUGUCUUGAGAUUUUAACAAAAGGUUGUAAAGUCACGCUCUUGGUUUUUUCUCCUUGCCGUAUUUUCCUGACAGUGCAAGGAAGCCAUUCCUUAAUUUUAGCAUCAUUUGCCAUCUGAGAAGUCUAAUACUUUUCAAAAUUAAGUGCUGUUCUUUGUGUAACGGGUUUCCCUCAAUUUAUCUGUUAUCCUUGUGCAUUUUAUUAUUAUUAUUAUUAUUAUUAUUAUUAUUUAAUUUGAGAGAGAGACAGAGAACAUAAGUGGGGAAGAGGGACAGAGGGUGUGAGAGGGAGAGAGAAGCAGGCUUCACGCUCAGUGCGGAGCCUCAUGUGGGGUUCAAUCCCACAAUCCUGGGAUCAUGACCUGAGCUGAAAUCAAGAGUCAGACACAACUGACUGAGCCACUCAGGUGUCCCUUCCUGUACAUUUUAAUAUGAGCAGCAACAAGGAAUCAGGUGAUAACCUUCUUCACUUUGCUUACAAAUCUCUUUAGCUAACUAAUCAAGGUCAUUCCUUACAUGUUCUGCUUUCAGUUUAGCUGCAGGAGACAACUUUGCUGAGCUAUCUGACACUACGUGGUAAGCAUUUCCCUUUCUGUUUUCCAGUAACAUGUUCCCCACUUCCUUCUAAGACUUCAUCAGCAGUGUCCUCAGAAUCCCUUCUACUAACAAUCUAUUGAAGCCAGUUUAGGUUUUGUCUCUCAUAUCCUUCAAAAUUCUUCCAGUCUCCACACAGUUCCAAAGUCACUCUUGUAUUUUUAUGUAUUUGUUACAGCAGCGCCCCACCUUCACAUACCAGUCCAUAUUGAUAGGUUUUAUGUACGUCUCCCAAGCUGAGUUAAGGGAAAUUGAAGGUUGACGCACUCUGAUUUCUUUUAUUUUAUUUUUUAUUUUUAUUUUUAACAUUUAUUUAGUUUUGAGAGACAGAGCAUGAGCGGGGGAGGGCCAGAGAGAGAGGGAGACGCAGAGUCCGAAGCAGGCUCCAGGCUCUGAGCUGUCCACACAGAGCCUGACGCGGGGCUCGAACCCAUGCACCGUGAGAUCAUGACCUGAGCCGAAGCCGGACGCUUAACUGGCUGAACCACCCAGGUGCCCCAACUCACUUUGAUUUCUUAAGUGUUGAAUGAAAGCUUAGCGAACUUCAGUAGCAUGUUAGGUGUAAGAAAAACAAUUUGAUGGCAGUUACCUUUUUGCGAAAUGUUGACACUAUUGUCCUGACUCUAUUAUUCCAUCAUAAUAGAUAGAUUUCUUUUCUCUGCACAUUUAUAGGCCUGGGGGCUUCAGUCUCUCUCUUCUGAGUGGGUAGGGAAAAUUUCCUUGAAGCAAAGCCACCGGGUAAAGAUUCUAGGCUUAGCAUCAAGGACAAUGGGUAAGUGGCUUAGAGAGUAUUAGGGAUGGAACAUUUGGUGCUGGGUUUGUGUUUUCUGAUCUCCAACCCAUUUCAAAACAUGGAUUCCCCAGUAGGCCAUUGGGCCACUGCCUGCAUGUUUCCUCCAGCACCCUGACCUUUGAGCAGGAUGAGAGUUCCUAUGAUGGCUGUCCCCUGGGGUAGCAGCCAAGGUACCCAACCAUCCUGACACAUGAUAAAGAAGCUUCAGGCUAGAAAGCACUCCUGGCAACCCUGUUCUGCCUCUAAUGAGUCAAGUUGGCAGUGAGAUUCCAUGACCUGCGUCCACUUCUGGGAAUACACCCAGAGGCCCUGGGAUCCCACCUGGGGGCUUCCCACAGCUCAAGAUACUGCUUGGUAUUCAUUCUUGGUCCCCACUAAUCUGGAACAUUUCCUGUAGCAAAUACCAGGAUGACAAAUCUAUAGACAUCUGAAUGCCCUAAGAAUCAUGCCUGUCUAACUUGGUCUGUAUCACAUGAGCUUAAUUCAGCAUGAUCUCAUGAGUGCCACAGGCACGUCCUUAUAACUUAGUGUCCUUAUAUCUGAGUUGAUUGAGUGAAUCAUUUUUCUGCAUGGGAAAUUGUUAUUACAUGUACGGCACCCAUCUUUAUAGAUGUUUCCAUUUCAUCUAGGUCAAUGUAUUCCUCAGUUCUAACUAGGAUCCUGUUCUCCACUCUCACAUAAAUGUAUUCUCUUUCUUCUUUGAAAGAUUAAUUUUUUACUUCUUAUCUAUUAGGGAAGCUCUCUCAGUCAUGGGUGGCCCUGUCUUGUAAUUACCUCCAGGAGUUUUCAUCCAACUUUCCAAUCAGUUUUAAUUAAACUCAUUAUCUGUUUUCCUUUUUAGGCGGAUAGGAGGCAGAGUUCCCAGGAACAGGGUUGUAUGGUAAUAAUUGUUUCAGUUGAUGUGAGAAAUAGGCAGUCUUAGAGUCCCUUGCUAAGCAGAAAAUGCCAAUUCUUUAAGAAGAAAAAUACGUAUAAAGGCAACUCUUGUUUUAUUAGUUAUUUUAGAGUAGGUUCCUAGGCAAGUCAAGUUGAAUCACAUUAUUUUCAAUCAUCAGUCCUGGAGUGUAAGUUGUCCACAGGCAAACAAAGGAUAAGCUGGUUUGGUAGAGACAAGCAUACCAUUUCUUCAUCUGUGCCUGUCUGCUCUCAAGAACAGAUGGGCCCUUCUCUUUUCUCUUUGCCUAAGGUAUAGUGAGUUUAAUGGUAGCCUCUAAAAUAUGUGUUCAACCAGAACCUGUGAAUAGGACCUUAUUUGGAAUGGGUCUUGGCUGAUGUAAUUAUGUUAAGAAUCUUAAGAUGAGAAAGUGCCUGGGUGGCUCAGUCAGUUAAGCUUUUGACUCCUGGUCUCAGCUCAGGUCUUGAUCUCAGGGUCGUGAGUUCAGGCCCCACACUGGGCUCCACACUGGGCAUGGAGCCGACUUAAAAAAAAAAGGAUAUUAAGAUGCGAUCAUCCUGGGUUUGGAAUAAGCUCUAAAUCAAUGUCCGGUGUCUUUAGAAGAGAAAGGCAGAGGGAGACAGAGACACAGACACAAAAACAUGAACACACAGAGCAGGUGAUGUGAGGACAGAGGCAGAGAUUGGAGAUAUGCAGCCAAGGAACACCAAGGGUUGCUGGCAGCCAUGAGAAUCUAGGAAGAGGUCAGGGAAUGGAUUCUCCCUCAGAGCCUCCAGAAAGAACAAAUCCUGCCCACACCUAGGUUUUGAACUUCUGGCCUCCAGAAUUAUGGGAGAAUAAAUCCUGGUUUGUGCUCAUUUAUUAUUGCAGCCCUAAGAAACUAACACAUAUGGCAUGUGGCAGGGAUGUGGUGGGUUACUAUUUGCAGUAUCUUUUGGCAUCAUGGGAUAAUCUGGGUUCCCUUCAAGAGAGAGAUUUGGGGACCAGAAGGUUAUUUGGAGCUGGUGGGUUCAGACUGGCUAUUUCAAGGCCUUUGAAGUCAAAGGAGGCCAAGACAGGGGCUGGAGGUCUCCUGGCCCCAUAACACCAGGCACUUGGCUAAAGGAGGAUCAGAAAGGAGUCUACUUCUGUCAUGUGAGACCAGUCCAUGCUGUCUGGGUGGAAAACUAACACUUGCUGAGACAAGAUUUAUUUGGGCUUAGAUAAGCAUAAGGAGAUUUCCACAGAUUGUCCUCUCCUAGGCAGUACUGCAGGCCAGAAAAGAGGUAGCCAGGCCCAUUCUGGGUAUAUUUGAAUCUUAAGAAACACUAGCCUACACUGUGGAAAACAGUAUAGUGGUUUCCCAAAAUAUUAAAAAUAUUACCAUAUGAUCCAGCAAUUCCACUUCUGGGUACAUACUCAAAAGAAUUGAAAGCAGGCUCUCAAAGAGAUAUUUGUACACCCAUGUUCAUAGCAACAUUAUUCACAGUAGCCAGAAUGUGAAAGCAACACAAGUGUCCAUCCACAGAUGAAUGGAUAGGGAAAAUGUGGUAUGUACAUACAAUAGAAUAUUGAGCCUUAAAAAAGAAGGAAAUUCUGACAUGUGACAAUAUAGAUGAAUUUUGAGGACAUUAUGUUAAGUGAAAUAAGCCAUUCAUAAAAAGAUAAUACCUAUAUAAUUCCACUUAGAUGAAGUACUUAGACUAGUCAGAAUUAUAUUUGAGAUUUUCCUUGCUUUUUGAGGUAGGCUGUAUUGCUAUAAACUUCCCUCUCAGAACUACUUUUGCUGUAUCCCAAAGAUUUUGGACCAUUGUGUUUUCAUUUCAUUUGUUUUCAUGUAAUUUUUAACUUCUUGGUUGACCCAUUCAUUGUUUAAUAGCCUGUUAUUUAACCUGUAUGUAUUUGUGCUCUUUUCAGACUUUUUUCUUGUGGUUUAUUUCUAGUUUUAUAGUGUUGUGAUUGGCAAAGGUGCAUGGUAUGACUUCGAUUUUUUUGAGAUUUGUCAUGUGGCCAAAUAUGUGGUCUAUUCUGGAGAAUGUUCCAUGUGUAUUUGAAAAGAAUGUGUAUUCUGCUGUUUUAAGAUGGAAUGUUCUGAAUGUGUCUGUUAAAUCCAUCUGGUCUAGUGUGUCAUUCAAAGCCACUGUUUCACUGUUGGUUUUCUGUUUGGAUGAUCUGUCCAUCAAUGCAAGUGGGCUCUUAAAGUCUCCAACUAUUAUUGUCUUACUACCGAUUAUUUCUUUUAUGUUUGUUAUUAACUCCUUUACCUAUUUUGGUGCUUUCAUGCUGGGUGCAUAAAUAUUUACAAUUGUUAUAUCUUCUUGUUGGAUUGUCCCCUUUAUUAUUAUAUAGUGUCCUUCUUUGUCUGUUGUUACUAGACUAGUCAAAAUUAUAGAGACAGAAAAUAAAAUGGUGGUUGUCAGGGGCUGGGGAGAGGGAGGAACAGAGGAGUUAGUGUUUAAUGGAUACAAAGUUUCAGUUUUACAAGAAUGAAAAGAUUUAUGGAUACAGAUGAUGGUGAUGGUUGCCCAACAUUAUGAACAUACUUAAUAUCAUUGAACUGUAUGCUUAAAAAUGAUUAAGAUGGUAAAUUUUGUAUAAUACAUAUUUUAUUAUAAUAAAAUAAUUGGAAAAAAAAAGAAACACUGGACUAAUGGACUAAUGCCUUGGCAGAGUCCCCUGAGAGAGAAGUUGAGAGAUAGUCUAUUUGACAUUUUAUCAGUCAGGGCUCUCUACAAACACUGGCACAUUUAGAUCCCUACAGAGUAAAAAUUAAUUGGAAAUAGCUAAUCUUAAUAGAGAAAGAGGAAAGAAUGGCCACUCUCCCUUCCUGGUCACCUGUUAUGGAGAAUCUAUAGACUUCCACUAGUGAUGUCAUCAUCAAAGCUGCCAGAGGGGCCAGAGGAUCUGAGUUCUAACUGGGAGCAAGUUUGUGCAGGUACUGUCUUCAUUGAGACAGAAAAACGUGCUAAACAGAGGGGAGAACAAUUCACUCAUGCCCAUGAGACCUGGGUUCUAAUUCUGGCUGUGCUGCUAAUUUCUGCUUGGUAUAUAUCCAUUGGAUUUUUGACUGCCAAAUCUGAAUCCCCUUCCUACCCAUGGGAGAAUCCACAGAGCUCAUCUCCUGCCACUUUCCUGGGCUUUAGGAUCUAGAAGGUGCGUCCUUUUUUCAUCCAGUGAUGAGGGUCCACUGUGUGCAUCUGGUGUCCAACGGAGAAGGUCCAAGCAGAGCUGAAAAAGUGAUGAAGCCUGCCACAGAAUAUUCUUUAUGAAGCGCUGAAAAACCCGCUAUGACACCAUAGUAUCCUAAAGCUAUCCUGGAAUGUUAGUGAUCUUGAGUUACAAGUUCCUAAGAGGAAAGAUUACAGAACUCUGUGAUGCUUUGAAAAAUUCCUACUCACAACCUUUUCUCUUUUUCCUCCACCUGACAAGCUAUUCUUAAAACCAUUGUCAUUACUACUAUUUUUUGUUUCUUCAGAUUCACCUACAACCCCUCAAAAAUCCUUGGCUGUGACAUCUUGAGAUUUUGGAACAAUCUGGCUCAUUAUUGUGACUAGAAACCAGAUAAUGAAAUUUGUGUUUGGCUUAACUACCAGGGAAAGGAGCAUGGAGACAUAAGCCACACAUAGUCUUUCUAGUACCUUACUUUGAUCAAAUGUCAGGGUUAUGAAUAAUAGAAAUCCUGGUUUAGUUGGGGAGUUGACUAAAUAUCACAGAGUUACUAUGUUAUUCUAAAGUAAACAAACAUGUCUUUUGUUGUCUUUGUCUUUUUUUUCUACAGAUGUAUUUUUAAAAGCUUUAUAUUUUAAUAAUGUGGAUUCAUUACUAUUGAUGACAUCUGAUCAGUAGCUUACAAAUAUGAAUUGGAAGAUUAAUUAUCUAGGGGAAACUUUGGAAAGGGCUGGAGAAUGUUUCAUUAACAGAGCUGGGUUUCCACGUAGAUGCCGAAAGCACUUCCAUUCCCAGACCUCCUUAUAGCUCUGAUUAUGUGUCCUGAUUCUGGCCAAUGUGAUUAAAGAGGAAAUCAGCAGGAAACUUCUGUAAGGCCUUUCCUCUCUUAAAAGAGAAAUGCUUGUGACAGUGUUGAGUGGUAUCCUGUGGAAUGGACGUGCCACAGUUCAUUUAACUACUCACUGCUGAAGGACACCUGAGUUGUUUCCAGUUUGCAGAUAUCAUGAAGAAAGUUGCUGCGAACAUUUGUACAGAUUUUUGUGUGAAGAUAAAUCUCCAUUGCUCUGGGAUAAAUGCCCAAGAGAGCAAUUUCUGGGUCAUCUGUAUGUUGGUUUAUUUAUCAUUUUCACUC